CAGAUUAAUUUCUUGGUGAUUUACUUUACUUACAAUAAGUUUUAUGCUGUUCGAUUCAGCUUAAUCUGA
rnacentral:tRNA from 1 species